CGGGGUGUGGCGCAGUUGGAUUAGCGCGCCGAGUUUGGGACUCGGAGGCCGGCGGUUCGAGUCCGCCCACCCCGA
rnacentral:tRNA from 2 species